CUGACCAUAGAACAUCACAGAACCUGUCUUUUAGCUCUCUAAUAGUGUUUCAGAGAAUAUUAUCAUCCCGGGCACGGAAUCAAGAAGUGAUAACAUUAAAACGAUCCCUACAACGUAAGUAUCGCUAUAUCGCCUCUCUUUUUCUUUGUAGUUUGAAUUUUGGAAGGUACUUAAUAGUUAAUAAAACGUAUACUUUCUGUAUUUAAGUGUUUAAAUAUCAAGGAAUGUUGAUAAAUUCGUUUUCUAAUAGUUAGAACUCACGGGACGGUGAUCGAAAGCUGUGAGUUCGAGUUAUUUGACUUGUAGUGGACUGUUUUGUGGGCUGUUUCGUGUUGCCUUUGGGCUGUAUAUUUUUCUACUGUUUAAUAGAGUUUUUUAGGACAAAUGGUGUGGAGAAAUACCACAUAACGACGGAAUGGUGGACUGGUCGUUCGUCGUUAUAUUUUUUAAGUUGUUUGCCACUACUUUGGUUGUUGUUUUAUGUAUGAAGUGAUUAGGGUGUGUGUGCUAUUUUGUGACAUAUUGUGAUGGAGAUAAGGUUGUAAAAUGAUGCUUACAUGUUGUUAUUGUUGUGUUCUUGUUGUUGUUGGUAUAUGGUAUUGGAGGAGGGCCUAGUUACAGAGGAGAUGUUGUCCAAAUUUACGUAAACGAGCUACUAGUUUAAGUUGUGGACUUAGCCUUUACUCAGCAUUGAUUUUGAAUCUCCUUAUGAUGUAGUAGAUUGAAUUGAGUUGUUUGAAGAAUUUUUUGGAAGGUAUUAAGGACUCAACGGAGUUAAGGUAUGUUAAGGCUAUCCCUUCUUUCUUUUUUGCAUAAUCCAAAUGAUACAAACGAAACGAGAAAAAUAUGCAACUUUCAUAAAUGACUUUAUUCAUAGAAAU
rnacentral:lncRNA from 1 species